rnacentral:rRNA from 1 species
CAAAGGAGUGAUCCGGCAGAGGAUGGACAUGCGGCGCAUUAGCUAGUCGGCGGGGUAACGGCCCACCGAGGCUACGAUGCGUAGGGGUUCUGAGAGGAAGGUCCCCCACACUGGUACUGAGACACGGACCAGACUCCUACGGGAGGCAGCAGUGAGGAAUAUUGGUCAAUGGGCGGAAGCCUGAACCGGCCAAGUCGCGUGAGGGAAGACGGUCCUAUGGAUUGUAAACCUCUUUUGCAGGGGAGCAAGGCGCGGUACGUGUACCGCGAAGGAGAGUACCCUGAGAAAAAGCAUCGGCUAACUCCGUGCCAGCAGCCGCGGUAAUACGGAGGAUGCGAGCGUUAUCCGGAUUUAUUGGGUUUAAAGGGUGCGCAGGCGGACUGUUAAGUCAGCGGUAAAAUGUCGGUGCUCAACACCGGCCGGCCGUUGAAACUGGCAGCCUUGAGUGAGCGAGAAGUAUGCGGAAUGCGUGGUGUAGCGGUGAAAUGCAUAGAUAUCACGCAGAACUCCGAUUGCGAAGGCAGCAUACCGGCGCUCAACUGACGCUCAGGCACGGAAGCGUGGGUAUCGAACAGGAUUAGAUACCCUGGUAGUCCACGCAGUAAACGAUGAAUGCU